GAUCAAAUAUAUUACCUGACUUGCAAUUGUCCACUGAACAUCUAUCGGUAAUUGUACAAAAACGUCAAAUUUAGUCCCUAUGAGUACUGGAAUUGCCGUCUACAACAAUUACAAAAACUUUAGUUAAUAUGAAUUAGGGACAGGGUCAGGGGUCCUCAAUGUUUAAAUUUCUAUGUCCUUCUGAUCUGAUGCAUUUUGUUUUAAUUAUACAAUUAUGUCUCAAAAUUUAUGUCUUCAGAUUCUUACUACAUCAUGUAAUACUAUCUCAAUUAAUGCACAUUCAAUUCAACCCAAUGAUUGUCUUGAAAUUCCCACUACAUCAUCCAUCAAGGAACAUAAUCGAGACAAAAGAACAAAGAGGUUAUGAAUGAAAAAUGAUUUCUGAACAUAAAGUUUAUACAAAAAAUAUAUCUAAAAUGAUUGUUAAUGACAUUUUUUUAAAAUAUGAGGACAAUGAUGAGUGUUUUGAUUAAAAAUUAAAAGAUCAUAAGAAGCAACAUCAUUCUUCAUAAACAUGGGUUUGUAGAUCAUUACUUUUUGGGAAUAUAUUACUACUAAAAGACAGAGAGAUUUGGGUAAAAAGAUAGGGAAAUUACCACUCAGUAGUACUUUUAGACAGUUAUUAUAGAUUUGUAAAAAAAAAAAAAAUUAUGGCUUGAAUUAUUAAUAUUUGUAAAACUUAUCACUUAUCGAUAAUUAUUUUAUUAUAAUGUAUACUAAAUUGAAAAUUUCCGUAAAAAGAUCCCAUGAGGUGGUGAAGCAGAGCAUGGGUACCUGAUUCCAUUUCCUUGAUUCUUGAUACCAUCCGACGAUACUGCAAACCCAGAGAGAGUUAAAUAGUAAUCUCAUGAGUUUACUUUAUUAUUCAAACCUAAAUAACAACUACAAUUUUAUAAUCAUGAUUCAUAAUGUAUGAAAACCUUAGGCAUUUUGAAACGUUACCUGUUUAAAGUACACCGACUUGUUAGAUCAAACAUGAAUAACAUUGCUACCGAGUCUUUGCAAGCACUUGGAAUGUGAUUAUGGGAUGUUUCAUCUCCUUGUACACCAUUCAAAAUUAUAGUUGAUCAGUACAUAUAUAUACAUACAUUGCCAUUUCAAUCAAUAAGAAAUUUAGCGAUGAGACAUAAUCAAUCAACAUCAGAUGUAAGGCUCGUCAAUAGAGAUACGAUUUUAUUGAGAUCGCUCACUUCAUAUUUUUUACGAUUAGUUUUGUAUCUGUGGACUUAUUAUUUAAUAAAUUAUUAUGCAUGCAUACCUGCAACCUCCCAGAUUCUAUAAGCGAUACGCGCCCCUCCAACACAGAGUGUUUUAUCCAUCUGAUUUAGUCCUGAAUUUGAUAUCUCAAAUCCUUCGUCUUGCCUCUCUCCCCGAACAUACUUUGUCUACAAUGAAUAACAAAAACAAGAAAAAAAAAA